rnacentral:snRNA from 9 species
AUACCUACCUGGCGUAGGGAUACUGUGAGCAUGCAGGCGCUUCCCCUAGGGUGCGGCUGCUCCAUUGCACUGCGGAGUGGUUUACUCUUGCGUUAAUUUCUAUAUUUUAUAAGUUUCACUUCUACCGUGUGACUCUCACACACACACAUUUUUUAUUUUAUUGAUAAGAUGGGUCAGG